AACUUUGCUCAGUGGCAGUAUCAUAGCCAAAGAGGUUUAUCUGAGGCAUGUUUAUUGCUAAUUGAAAACAUUUCCCAAAAAUAUAUAAAAUUAGAUUAUACUUUAUGGCCCAUUUUUAUACCCUGCAACUUAAGU